GUGCUUGCUUCAGCAGCUCAUAUACUAAAAUAGGAAUGAUACAGAGAAGAUUAGCAUGGCGCCCGCACAAGGAUGACGCACAGAUCUGUGAUGCUUUGUCAAUGGCC
ensembl:snRNA U6 U6 spliceosomal RNA